UACAGAGGGUGCGAGCGUUAAUCGGAAUUACUGGGCGUAAAGCGCGCGUAGGCGGCUUUGCAAGUCGGGUGUGAAAUCCCCAGGCUUAACCUGGGAACUGCAUUCGAGACUGCAUUGCUAGAGUAUGGGAGAGGGCAGUGGAAUUUCCGGUGUAGCGGUGAAAUGCGUAGAUAUGUGGAGGAACACCGAUGGCGAAGGCAGCCCCCUGGGUCAAGAUUGACGCUCAUGCACGAAAGCGUGGGGAGCAAACAGG
rnacentral:rRNA from 1 species